rnacentral:tRNA from 1 species
GUUCCUGUAGUCCAAUGGAUAAGAUGAUCCCCUCCGAAGGGAUUGAUCCGGGUUCGACUCCCGGCGGGAACA